CGCCAGGAUGAACGGCUAGCGGCAGGCCUAAUACAUGCAAGUCGAACGAUAGAUAGAGGCUUGCUUCUAUCGAAAGUGGCGCACGGGUGCGUAACGCGUAUGCAACCUACCUUAAUCUGGGGGAUAGCCCGGAGAAAUCCGGAUUAAUACCGCAUAAAAUCACAGGAUGGCAUUAUCCAAUGAUCAAACAUUUAUGGGAUUGAGAUGGGCAUGCGUGUCAUUAGCUAGUUGGCGGGGUAACGGCCCACCAAGGCGACGAUGACUAGGGGAUCUGAGAGGAUGGCCCCCCACACUGGUACUGAGACACGGACCAGACUCCUACGGGAGGCAGCAGUAAGGAAUAUUGGUCAAUGGAGGCAACUCUGAACCAGCCAUGCCGCGUGCAGGAAGACUGCCCUAUGGGUUGUAAACUGCUUUUAUCCGGGAAUAAACCUAUCUACGUGUAGAUAGCUGAAUGUACCGAAGAAU
rnacentral:rRNA from 1 species